GUUUGCACUUGUCGGGGAAGGGUGAGAACCUUCGAUUAAGGUUCGACUCGAGCGAAAGCGAGAGAACGUUGCCAACGGCAACGGCCCGUAGGGUGAGGAGCGAAGCGCUGAGUAAUCCUUCCCCCAUCACCA
rnacentral:sRNA from 1 species